GACGAACGCUGGCGGCGUGCUUAACACAUGCAAGUCGAACGGAAAGGCCCUGCUUUUGUGGGGUGCUCGAGUGGCGAACGGGUGAGUAACACGUGAGUAACCUGCCCUUGACUUUGGGAUAACUUCAGGAAACUGGGGCUAAUACUGGAUAGGAGCUCCUGCUGCAUGGUGGGGGUUGGAAAGUUUCGGCGGUUGGGGAUGGAAUCGCGGCUUAUCAGCUUGUUGGUGGGGUAGUGGCUUACCAAGGCUUGACGGGUAGCCGGCCUGAGAGGGGGACCGGCCACAUUGGGACUGAGAUACGGCCCAGACUCCUACGGGAGGCAGCAGUGGGGAAUAUUGCACAAUGGGCGGAAGCCUGAUGCAGCAACGCCGCGUGCGGGAUGACGGCCUUCGGGUUGUAAACCGCUUUCGCCUGUGACGAAGCGUGAGUGACGGUAAUGGGUAAAGAAGCACCGGCUAACUACGUG
rnacentral:rRNA from 1 species